UUCAAAUAUCAGAGUGCAUUUGAGUCAACCAGUUGUGCGCACACAGAGGAAACAAGCUUCUGAGAAAUAAUGUCAGGAUCACUGGUGACAACCACUAUUGGUCAAAAGUAACUUUUUCAGUGUCUCCUGGUGGUGCCUAAACUUUUCCCACGAGUUUUGUCUUUAUAUGCAGGCAUCAGAUAAAAUUCGACUACUUUAAUACGAUUAAACCAUCAUGAGCCAUCAACGUAUUAGCUCUGUGGGAAGCUGCUUUCUGGAGUGAGUAUUGUGGAGUGAGAAAGGAGCGAAAACUCUAGAACCAAGAGACCAAAAGUGGCCAUUUACUGAGGUCCAUUUAAAGCCACUUCCUGAGGACCUGCUAAAGACCACUCUUUCAAGGCUUUCAAGAGUUACCCUGCAACGGCCAGGCAUUGGCACCGAGAAGAACAAGACGUCUGCUGAACUGGAGUGACUGGGAACAUAGCACGUGGGAGGCUACUCUGCAGCUGGGCUCUUGUGUUGGGCCAAAGAGCUAAUGGGGUUUUGGCUUCCUAAAACAUCUCUGUUGAAACUCCCUGGGGAAUUUUGCUUUAUGAAAUUCCCAGCAACUUGGGAUCCCAGUGGGUUGGUGAUUAGGAGCCUGGAGGGCUCCCUGCUGGGUGAAAAAAAAUGUGUUUGAAGUCCAAUGGGAAGGGCUGUAGGAGGGAGUUGAUGAUUUCUCCCUAACUCCUACUGUGUAUUGACAGAAGCUGUCCCUACCACUGUUAAUUGCCAAUUACUUUUGUCUCGAGAGCCAAAGAAAAUAUAUUUGAAGUGAACCCCUUGAAAUAUACCCAUUUUCCACUAGGAUCCACAGAUGGUGAAAUAUUAAUAAAUAGGUGGGUUGCAGAAUACUUUAAGAUUGCAUUAGAAUUGAUAUUUGUGGGCUUUAUUAACACCAGAGGUGCUGACAUAUAUUCUGAUAUGGCUAGCAGAUCCAGAAGCCAUUAAUAUCAACACAGAGCAAAUUC